GACGAACGCUGGCGGCGUGCCUAAUACAUGCAAGUUGAGCGCUGAAGGUUGGUACUUGUACCAACUGGAUGAGCAGCGAACGGGUGAGUAACGCGUGGGGAAUCUGCCUUUGAGCGGGGGACAACAUUUGGAAACGAAUGCUAAUACCGCAUAAAAACUUUAAACACAAGUUUUAAGUUUGAAAGAUGCAAUUGCAUCACUCAAAGAUGAUCCCGCGUUGUAUUAGCUAGUUGGUGAGGUAAAGGCUCGCCAAGGCGAUGAUACAUAGCCGACCUGAGAGGGUGAUCGGCCACAUUGGGACUGAGACACGGCCCAAACUCCUACGGGAGGCAGCAGUAGGGAAUCUUCGGCAAUGGACGAAAGUCUGACCGAGCAACGCCGCGUGAGUGAAGAAGGUUUUCGGAUCGUAAAACUCUGUAGGUAGAGAAGAACGUUGGUGAGAGUGGAAAGCUCAUCAAGUGACGGUAACUACCCAGAAAGGGACGGCUAACUACGUG
rnacentral:rRNA from 1 species